UCAAAAACAUGUCUUAUUGAUUUUAAUUUUAAGUUUGACCUGCCCCCUGAAGUAUUUAAAUGGCCGCCGUAUUAUGACUGUGCUAAGGUAGCAUAAUCAAUAGUUUCUUAAUUAGAAGCUGGAAUGAAUGGUUGGAUGAAAUAAUGGUUGUCUCUAUUUAAUUUUAUUAAAAUUUUAUUUUUUAGUAAAAAAGCUAAAAUUAAUUUAAAAGACGAGAAGACCCUAUAGAGUUUAAUAUUUAUUUUUUUUUAAUUUUAUUGGAAUUUAUAUUUUUAAUUUAAUUAAAUAUUUAAUUGGGGUGAUUAAAAAAUUAAAUUAACUUUUUUAUUUAUUACCAUUGAUUUAUGAAUAAUUGAUCCAUUUUUAGUGAUUAAAAGAUUAAAUUACCUUAGGGAUAACAGCGUGAUAUUUUCAGAGAGUUCUUAUCGAAGAAAGAGAUUGCGACCUCGAUGUUGGAUUAAAGUAAAUUAUUGGUGUAGAAGUUAAUAUUAUUAGGUCUGUUCGACCUUUAAAAUUUUACAUGAUCUGA
rnacentral:rRNA from 1 species